rnacentral:rRNA from 1 species
CCUACGGGGCGCAGCAGUCGAGAAUCAUUCACAAUGGGGGAAACCCUGAUGGUGCGACGCCGCGUGGGGGAAUGAAGGUCUUCGGAUUGUAAACCCCUGUCAUGUGGGAGCAAAUUAAAAAGAUAGUACCACAAGAGGAAGAGACGGCUAACUCUGUGCCAGCAGCCGCGGUAAUACAGAGGUCUCAAGCGUUGUUCGGAAUCACUGGGCGAAAAGCGUGCGGUGGCUGUUUCGUAAGUCGUGUGUGAAAGGCGCGGGCUCAACCCGCGGUCGGCACCUGAUACUGCGAGACUAGAGUAAUGGAGGGGGAAGCGGAAUUCGGGGUGUAGCAGUGAAAUGCGUAGAUAUCGAGAGGAACACUCGUGGCGAAGGCGGGUUCCUGGACAUUAACUGACGCUGAGGCACGAAGGCCAGGGGAGCGAAAGGGAUUAGAUACCUGUAGUC